CUCUCUCUCUCUCUCUCUCUCUCUCUCUCUCUCUCUCUCUCUCCCUUCAUAGCACACAGGCAGGGGUGCUAAGUGUGCAUCUCCACAGGCUAGGUCUCCUGGAUCCAUGAAGAAGUAGGAGCGGACGAGAAUCAUGCUGGAUAGUGGAAGUAGAGUGGAGUGGUGACUAUCGGUGUUAACUGCAUCUCUGUUCAUCAAGUAGGGCAGAUGUAGAUGGAAUGGGAGAGGGAGGCAGGGAUGAGGGCAUUCAUAGAGCUCUGUGUAGUGAUAGUUCUUGGUUGGCUUUAUUAGUUUACAGAGGAAUCGUCCAAGAGCCUUGGCUGGAGGAGAGGGUGGCAGAAGUGAAGCUGAGCUGCCUGAACAUCCUUCUAAGGAGACAUGAAUAGUUGUCAGAUUUCUGAAUUCUGCAUAACUGUCUGUGAGUAAGAGUACCAAGGAAAAAGAAGUCACACGUCGGAGUCUACUGCCCUCAUGCAAUGGAAACUGUAGAAGAAUUGUCCUGGAGCAGCAGCCGGAGGAGAAAUUGGCAGACGUGGGCCUUAGGAGCCUGGACAUUCUUCUAAGGAGACAUGAACAGUCUUCAGCUUUCUGCCUCAUGCAUAACUGGCUGUGGGUUUGGUGUGUCUGACCAGAGUCAUCUGUGCAGAGUGACUAUUUCAGGUGUCGUCGCAAGGGGUGCUUUCUACUUGUUGUCAUAAAGGCGUGAUGGGAGGAGGGUUCCGGGCAGAGCCCCACCAUGUGGGAGAGGCAAAAAGAAGCGGCUACCCAACAUUGCCAAUUGAGAUGGUGACUGACUUGUUUUUUCGCUGGAUUUAGUAGCAAGGGAAAAGAAGUGACAAGUCAGAGUCUACUGCCCUCAUGCGAUGGAAAGCGAGCGAGAGUGAUGGGACUGCGAGAAUUAUUGAUGCCUUGAAAAAGCCAUCCAACUGGGAGUGGAACAGUCAUCGCUGUCAAUGAGAUAAGUGUCUGUUUUGGUGAUUGCUCUGCUCACGGCCCACCUUGCUCCUGAAAGGGAUGCCCCGUUUGCUGAGGCUGUGUUAGUAAGAAAAGGUUCCCGACUAGCUGUGGUUUUGAGAGAGAGAGAAGAUCCCCAUUUUUAGGGGCUGCUCAGUUUUCUGGCCAGGAGCAGUGUGUCCUACGCAGCAGAAGGUUGCAUCUAGGAGA